GUUCUCACUUAGGCAGCACACAUACUGAAAUUGGAACAAUACCAAGAAGAUUACCGUGGACUCUGGGCAAAGAUGACCUGAAAAUUUGUGAAGCAUUUUGUAUUUAA
ensembl:snRNA U6 U6 spliceosomal RNA